rnacentral:rRNA from 1 species
AACGAACGCUGGCGGCAUGCCUAACACAUGCAAGUCGAACGAAGCCUUCGGGCUUAGUGGCGCACGGGUGCGUAACGCGUGGGAAUCUGCCCUUGGGUUCGGAAUAACAGUUAGAAAUGACUGCUAAUACCGAAUGAUGUCUUCGGACCAAAGAUUUAUCGCCCAAGGAUGAGCCCGCGUCGGAUUAGCUAGUUGGUGAGGUAAAGGCUCACCAAGGCGACGAUCCGUAGCUGGUCUGAGAGGAUGAUCAGCCACACUGGGACUGAGACACGGCCCAGACUCCUACGGGAGGCAGCAGUGGGGAAUAUUGGACAAUGGGCGAAAGCCUGAUCCAGCAAUGCCGCGUGAGUGAUGAAGGCCUUAGGGUGUAAAGCUCUUUUACCCGGGAUGAUAAUGACAGUACCGGGAGAAUAAGACCCCGGCUAACUCCGUGCCAGCAGCCGCGGUAAU